rnacentral:rRNA from 1 species
CUGCUUCCAGGAAAAGCCUCUAAGCAUCAGGUAACAUCAAAUCGUACCCCAAACCGACACAGGUGGUCAGGUAGAGAAUACCAAGGCGCUUGAGAGAACUCGGGUGAAGGAACUAGGCAAAAUGGUGCCGUAACUUCGGGAGAAGGCACGCUGGUGUGUAGGUGAAGUCCCUGCGGAUGGAGCUGAGACCAGUCGAAGAUACCAGCUGGCUGCAACUGUUUAUUAAAAACACAGCACUGUGCAAACACGAAAGUGGACGUAUACGGUGUGACGCCUGCCCGGUGCCGGAAGGUUAAUUGAUGGGGUUAUCCGUAAGGAGAAGCUCUUGAUCGAAGCCCCGGUAAACGGCGGCCGUAACUAUAACGGUCCUAAGGUAGCGAAAUUCCUUGUCGGGUAAGUUCCGACCUGCACGAAUGGCGUAAUGAUGGCCAGGCUGUCUCCACCCGAGACUCAGUGAAAUUGAACUCGCUGUGAAGAUGCAGUGUACCCGCGGCAAGACGGAAAGACCCCGUGAACCUUUACUAUAGCUUGACACUGAACAUUGAGCCUUGAUGUGUAGGAUAGGUGGGAGGCUUUGAAGCGUGGACGCCAGUCUGCGUGGAGCCAACCUUGAAAUACCACCCUUUAAUGUUUGAUGUUCUAACGUUGGCCCCUGACCGGGGUUGCGGACAGUGUCUGGUGGGUAGUUUGACUGGGGCGGUCUCCUCCCAAAGCGUAACGGAGGAGCACGAAGGUUAGCUAAUCCUGGUCGGACAUCAGGAGGUUAGUGCAAUGGCAUAAGCUAGCUUGACUGCGAGCGUGACGGCGCGAGCAGGUGCGAAAGCAGGUCAUAGUGAUCCGGUGGUUCUGAAUGGAAGGGCCAUCGCUCAACGGAUAAAAGGUACUCCGGGGAUAACAGGCUGAUACCGCCCAAGAGUUCAUAUCGACGGCGGUGUUUGGCACCUCGAUGUCGGCUCAUCACAUCCUGGGGCUGAAGUAGGUCCCAAGGGUAUGGCUGUUCGCCAUUUAAAGUGGUACGCGAGCUGGGUUUAGAACGUCGUGAGACAGUUCGGUCCCUAUCUGCCGUGGGCGCUGGAGAAUUGAGGGGGGCUGCUCCUAGUACGAGAGGACCGGAGUGGACGCAUCACUGGUGUUCGGGUUGUCAUGCCAAUGGCACUGCCCGGUAGCUAAAUGCGGAAGAGAUAAGUGCUGAAAGCAUCUAAGCACGAAACUUGCCCCGAGAUGAGUUCUCCCUGAGACUAUAAGUCUCCUGAAGGAACGUUGAAGACGACGACGUUGAUAGGCCGGGUGUGUAAGCGCAGCGAUGCGUUGAGCUAACCGGUACUAAUGAACCGUGAGGCUUAACCUU